AUCUGUUUAAAGUAACAAGAAAGGAGGCAAGUUUGACCCCAACAAACUCUGAGGAUAUCCCUGAGGUUGUUACAUCAGCAUCAUUUGAGCAAGUAAUUGUAUUUUUAGUGACUAACGGUAAUAAAUGUUUUCCUCAUCUCAAUUUAUUUCAUAAUUAAAAUCUUCAGUUUACUUAUACUAUGUAGAUUUAAAUGGCUUUUGACACAACCUGUUUGAUGUUCCAGUGUGAUCUAACCCAAUACCUGGUGCUGCUCUCACAGAUCUGCUUUGUCUAUAGGCAUUCAUCACAAAUAAUAUUACCAGCUGCUUAUUGCUGCAUAGAUGGGAAGAUCAAAGUGCCACAUGACUUUAACAGGUUAAUCAUAAUUGCUGACAAUCAUCGGAGGACAAUGGACGUCAGCCCCUAGUUGUUAUUAGGUGCAUGAAAAGAAAGUAAGAGGGUGGAACUGUAACACAUUCAACAGUUUCUGCAAGGCAGAGCCUACCACAUGCAGAUGAGAACAAGUCUGGGCAGGAGGUGUGAUGUGUGCAUGUGAAAAUUAAACCUGGAUGUGGAAAAACCCAAGCCAGCACCAGAUGAUGCGUUCAAAGGACAUGGUUUGUUUCAUAUAGAACAUGUGCUGCAGGCAGUGUAUUGCAUUACAUACUACACAACAGCAACAAUACUUGAAAUGCCUCCUUUUUCUCCUUUAUUGUUUGGGGUUUUGGUAUCUCAUUACCUUUUUACCUACUCAUUUUUCACCUUUUCUUACAAUCCUCCUGUAUAUUUCUAAACUAACCAAGUUUGUCAUUCAAUCUGUAAUCUCUUUAGUAUCUUUUAUUUUCAGUAAUUUCUUCUCUAUUUCAACUCCACUCAUCUUCCACCAUUUAAUCCUUCUUGCUCUCCACUGCUUUAGCCUGUUCCCAGCACAGUCCCCACCUCUGCUCUAGGCAGUCUUCUUUUUCUAGGUCAUUAUCCUCAGCUUUGGUCAUAAGCAAGUAUGAGAAGCAUCCCUUUAUUAUAUGAUGUACAAGAACCUGUACUUCAGAAACACAAUUACAUCUUUAAAAUUAGCUUGAGUCACACCCCAUGAAUUUAGAUUGUUCUCAUCUCAGCUGGAGAUCUGAGAAUGGCAGCAUGCAGCACUGCACUGUUAGGCCAGCUAACACACUGUAUUGCCCUUCUACUAAAAUACAGUCUGUAAUGAAAUCAAUUCUGUAAUUGUGGUAUUCAGAUUUAAAUAGUUCUUUUUCAAAACAUAAAAUGAUCUCCUUUUUCCUGUAUGCUGCCGUGCUUCUGCCCCUGCAGCACAGUAAUUACUCUGCUUAAGCCUACUGCCAGUGGCAUAAUUUAUUUCAAUUGGCUGCUCAGUCUGGUAUCUGCCACAGAUACCAGGAAAUGGUGUUAAAAAACGUACUUUCCUCAAAUAUAUUAAAACCAAAGCGCAGAAGUAGGACUUAGAAUCUCCCUGUGUAUGUUUCCUCUCUUACAAAUCUUAUUCAGCCAU